CUUAGACUCAGCCAUGAUUUUCAUACUAUUUUUCAAAUAGUGCUGGGAGCAGAGAAAAAAAGGGAAAAUAAGUACGAUAAAAUGAAGAAAAGAGAAACACUUGUCCCACCCCCCCUUCUGCAAUUAGAGCUGCUAUGUUUUAAUGAGGUAAUCGCUGGUAGGUUUAUACCACAGUCCCCUUCCCCAUAUGGUUUUGAUAUAUAGUUGGCUAAAAGUGGAGCUUCUGAGAAAUUUGGAAGAUGAAAGUGAUGCAGAAGUCAUUACUCUCAGAAGGUUGUGCGGUCAAAUCUGGUGAUGAGCAAAUAGAGAGGGGUUUUUACAGGUUCCAACUUGUCCUCCCUGUCUUGCUCUAGCUCAUUUUCCUGGCUGAUGAUUCUGCUGACACAUAAUGCCUCAGUUGAUGUCAUUAGAUAAGAUCCCAGUAGGCUGUGGCUGUGUAGCAAGAACUGCUUCUCCAGAGACUGCAGUUUCCAUAGUUCUUGCUAUUUUCCUCUUCAUGCAGGUCCCAUUUCUAUGUAUGGUUUCUUGGAUUUCCCUGCCAGCUCCAAGAAGUGCUUCUACUAAAGUGAUUGCUUCAGCCCAGCCAAUUCCCUUGGAUUUGAUGGUUUCCAAACAAAUUUCACUUUGAGAAUUUAUUUUCUCAGCUACUUUGAUAAGGGGAGUCAAUUGUCCUUUAUACCAGUUUUGUAUAAUCACUCAUUCACAGGAAUAAUCCAAGUUACUUGAAAUAAAUCUUGAUUCGCAAAUCCA
rnacentral:lncRNA from 13 species